UGCAGCUCGGCCGCUUGACUGACAGGGAGCCUUCCAGCGGCCGCCCACGCGCGCUCCCGUUUCCCCUCAGUCGGAGAGGGAGAUGGCGAAGGAAGAAGCAUGAAUGAAACAGCCAGGCAGCGAGCGGGAGCGGCCGGCGAGGAGCCGGCCCCAGCCCCCGGGAGAGCCGGAGCCGCUGCCGCAGACAGAUCUCAUGCAGAGGUGGUGGAAUAAAAGAGCCAGAAGGCUAACCAAAGAUGGCAGAGAGAGCUGGUGAAGUCCAUUGUGUACUGAUGUGAGAAACAUUUCCAUCCCAGUGUAGUAGUUCUGCAUCAGCUCAUUACAGUGUGACUUUGGAUGUCAAAGGUUGAUGGCAACAAGACAUCUGCUGCUGUCCUGAAAGAUCACCUCCUUGUAGGCUCAAGACAGAGAGGACUCCAUUUCCAUGUCCUAAUAUGCUGUGAAGCCUGCAUCCACACCAACUUGACUGAAGGGGUCUGUGCUGCUGUGACAAGCAGCUCUCUUCCCUCUGAGUCAAGAGAGUCCUGGAACAGCCUCCUCCUCA